ensembl:lncRNA
GCAUUUAAACUAUGUUGGUUGUAGGCAUGCUACAGUUUUUUGAAUAUUCAGAAUUAAGUUGAUAUUGAAGUACGUGUGUGCAUUUUCUAAAUAGAAUUAAAAUACCGAUCUGGAAUUUAUACAAAACAAUUCCUUUGUUUUUUUGAAUAGUUUUUAUGACGCGUACGUUGUUGACAUUUUGCGCAUGAGGCAAGAUAGAAAACUUAAAUAAUUUAUAUUUACUUUGGAAGAAAAUUAUAAGUUUAUAAAAAGAAAUCCUAAGUUAGGCAUUAAAUUCUGAAUGUGGUUGGGCAUCAAGUGCACGUUAACGUUAUCCAAUAGCCUAAAGCCGGGUAUCUUAUCUAGCUAGCCUGUCUGGGAUUCUCUGUUCAAGAAUUGUUACACGUAGAUCAAAGUGGGUGAUACAAGUCAUCGUUUUAGGCUAGUACUGCUUUUCGCUUUCUGUCAUUCUGCGCGCUCUUCACAAAUAGUCCAUUUGUGGACUAGUCACCGGGUCCUUGACGCAGUAUAUAAUACUCCGGUUUUUAAAAUCAUAUAUUUUAAACAUCAAGAAGUUACAAUACUAUUUAAAUAAUACAAAUAUUUCCGAUGCCCAUCCAAAGUGGAUUGUUCUUCCAUAUUGCCGCUACUUCUAAAAUCAUUAUUGAAUCCUAUUCCAACCCACUUUGUACUGCAACACAAUGUGAAAAAAUGUAAUAUGUAGUAAAUAACUUAACCACAAUACCAGCCAGAGACUGAGUUUGCCCUCACCAUAUGGCUGGCAUGCACUUGACGCAACACGAAAUAACUGACAAUGCCUAUUUGAGACCAGGUUAAGGGAAUAAUGCUACAUGAAUGCUAGCUACCUGGGUUGCAGCUUGUGUACAUUAAUACUUUUUUUGUGUGUCAGUGGCUGUGCCUCUGAAUUUUUUUGCAUUGUCAAAUCUAAUUAUGUAUUAAAAAUAUGAUGAUUGGAUACGUUUCCACUCCAGCUGUAAUAACAGUCUCGAUUAGCUUAGCUGUUACCAAUCACCUUAAAAAUCACAGGUUAUGCCUCUAUUUGUUUUAAAGCAGUCUCUGUGCUAUGUGCUAAAACAUUUGAAUACAAUAGUCAGUCAAGCUUUUUUGUCCUCAAACACCAAAGGUGAAUUUGGUGUAAAAGUGGUGGGACGGUCAUUCAGGUAGUGAAUUAGCGUUAUUUUAGCAGCAGGAUAUUAUGCUGACAGCACUCAUUUUCUUUAGCACAAUAAAAGCCAUCAUUGCAAUGCAUAAGGCAAUAUAGUUAACAAUCUAGUCUGAAAAAGAACAGACAAUAGUAACAUUGGAACGGACAUUAAACAUAAAAUGUACAGACUAGAUUAACUAUAUUACCGUAUAUAUUUAAAUGAUGGCUUUUAUUUUGAAAAAUAGAAUCUGAGUUAGCGCUGCUAGCAUAAUAUCCUGCUGCUAGAAGAACGGCAUUGAAGCCUCGAAUGGCCAUCACUACAUGCAUGAAAGAACUCCUCCCAAUUGUAAAUAUGUUGGUGGAUAUGUGAUGUGCUGGACUGUUUUGCCACCAAAGGCUAUGGGAACCAUGUUAGGAUUCAACACAUUAUGGACUCGAAAUUACCAGGAGAUUAAAAAGAAAUCUGCCUGCCUCUGCCAGGGGGCUAAAACUGUCAUGUCAUUGGAUCUUUCAACAGGACAGUGAUUACUAAAACAUUCCUUCAGAUACACACACACACACACACACACACACACACACACACACACACACAGAAACAUCACUCGCCACAAAAGCAAGCUUUUGCUGUGAUCACGGCUGUCUGGGGGAUGCCUCGGACGUCCAGGCCUAACGACGCCCUGGCUGCCAGUAAUUCUGGAGGUUUCAGUAAAUUUCCAUGAAUUGCCUAGUCAGAGCCAGACCUAAGUCCAAUUGAGAAUGUGUGACUUGACUUGAAGAUUGCUGUCCUCUGAGCUCCCGCAGGAACUUGGCAGAGGUUGAACAGUUUUGUAAAGAUGAAUGGUCAAAUAUUGCCACAUUUCAGUGAGGUGCGGUCUGGGUAGUUAGGGUAGGCACUGCCUAAACUGGGGUUUUC